UGUUUAUAAAUCCAUUUCUAUAUAAAACUAGGUUUUAUGAUUAAACACUACUUCCACCCUAAUGGCAUAAUAUAUUACAAUAAAUCAGCAAAUAUUGACCACAUAUCACAAAAUAUCACA